rnacentral:lncRNA from 1 species
UGUUGAAGAGUAAUGGAUAGUUUCUGAAUACUGAGAAGUGAGUCAGUGGAAUAAAUUAGAGAUUGAUUUAUGAGUUAUUGAUUUUGUAAUUGGAGUAUUGAGUGAUUGAAUUAUAUGAGAAGUUAUUGGAAGAUUGAUUAUGGAUGGAAGAUUAUGAUUGUUGUUUAUUGAGAGUUGUAUGUGUGUGUUUCGACAGAGAAAGUCUAUGAUUACAGGAAUUUUGUGAAUUCAGAUUGGUUGGAGUGAAGUUUGUUAUUUUUGGUGUGGGAUGGAAUUUAUUGAGUUUUGAGUGAUCUUUUGAGAGUGCAAGGUUGCACAUUGUGGUUAUCAGUUGAUGAAGGAGUAUUAUUACUGGGAGGAAGCAUUAUAGUAUUUCUUAGUAUUUUUGUGGUUUAAAAUACAGUUAAUUGUGUGAUCCUAACUAGUAAAGCUCAUGUGC